rnacentral:tRNA from 1 species
GCGCGGAUGGUUUAGCUUGGCGAUAACGACACGCUCACACCGUGUAGGGCAGGGGUUCGAAUCCCCUUCCGCGCA